UGCACGUGUGUGUGUGUGUGUGUGUGUGUGUGUGUGCGCGCACACACACACACACACACACAUAUAUA